rnacentral:rRNA from 1 species
GACGAACGCUGGCGGCGUGCUUAACACAUGCAAGUCGAACGGAAAGGCCCUGCUUUUGUGGGGUGCUCGAGUGGCGAACGGGUGAGUAACACGUGAGUAACCUGCCCUUGACUUUGGGAUAACUUCAGGAAACUGGGGCUAAUACCGGAUAGGAGCUCCUGCUGCAUGGUGGGGGUUGGAAAGUUUCGGCGGUUGGGGAUGGACUCGCGGCUUAUCAGCUUGUUGGUGGGGUAGUGGCUUACCAAGGCUUUGACGGGUAGCCGGCCUGAGAGGGUGACCGGCCACAUUGGGACUGAGAUACGGCCCAGUCUCCUACGGGAGGCAGCAGUGGGGAAUAUUGCACAAUGGGCGGAAGCCUGAUGCAGCAACGCCGCGUGGGGGAUGACGGCCUUCGGGUUGUAAACCGCUUUCGCCUGUGACGAAGCGUGAGUGACGGUAAUGGGUAAAGAAGCACCGGCUAACUACGUG